rnacentral:lncRNA from 1 species
CUAACGGCAAAUGCCUGACGCCGUCUUCGGUCCCCUGCCUGCGCCCUCGACCACCCCAUUCGUUGAGUCCGUACACUCGGCGGUCAAUUAUUGCCUGGCCCCGGGCGACGUGGCGGAAAACGGUUCGCCGCUUAUCCGACGUGGCGAUCCGGACUUGGAGGCGCGACUUAACCGCCGAUUUUAAAGCGGGCGCGUUCGCUCCCGCGUUUCCGCGUCGCGCGUUCCCGCAACACGACAAAUGAGGGCGUCGAAAA